rnacentral:lncRNA from 1 species
GGAAGGGUAUAGGGGAAUUUCAGGAUAGCCUUUGAAAUGUAAAUGAAGAAAAUAUCUAAUAAAAAUUGAAAAAAAUAAAAGAACAGACAGAUCUUAAAGAGUCAACUUAGAUGGGCAACAGUAGUUUUAUAGGGCUUGAGCAAAGAGUAGGUGGCAGCUGGUUGUUGUGGUGUUACAGUGUAGGAGAUGAACUACAGCACUGAGAUUCUUCAAAUUACUUCUAAAUCGCUACCAAUGAGUCAGGUUCAGGAUCUUUCAGACCUUGAGAAUUUAAGGGCUAUUACCACUGUGCUUAUUCAGGACCUUCUUUCUUCUUACAUAACACCCUCACUCUACCCUCUCCAACCACAGAGUUGCUGGAGCACAAAGUAGAGAAUUCAUGAAGCUAGCCAGGUUUCUCUUUCAUACCCAGUUCUUCUAGCUGUAAGACAAAAAGAAGUUUUAGUACUAAGCCAUGUUCAAUUUUGACUAAUACCGUAGUUCAUUAUUUUAAUUAAAUACCCCGUUAUCAACUGUGAAAUAUAUGUCAUUUUGAUACACGUACUUUGAUUAUUUUCACUUCCCCUUCCUCUUUAUUGUGGCUCCUCCCACUCAUCUCAAAUGGAUAAUUUCCAUUUUCCUGUCUUGUGUUUUAAUAUAAAUAAAACACAAAUAAAACAUACACUAUCUACCUUUCUGUUUCUAGCUUAUUUAAUUUAACAUGAUUUUUCAGUUCUACCAAAUUUCUUACAGUUGGAGAAAGUCUCUUUUUUCUUUCUUACUGAAUAUAACUUCAUUGUGCUCUCUCUCUCUCUCUCUCUCUCUCUCUCUCUCUCUCUCUCUCACACACACACACACACACACACACACUCACAUACAUCACAUUCUUUCUCUGUGUGUAUCUCUCUCUCUAUGUCUCCCACCCACCUUUUUUUGAGACAAGGCUUCUCUAUGUAGUCUUGGCUGCCCUGGGACUUACUCUGUAGAUCAGGCUGGAUUAAAGGCAUGUGCUACAACGACUUGAAAUGUGUAGCCCAGGCUGGCCUUAAUCUCAUGAUCCUUCUGCUUCUUCCCCCUUCAACAAAUUUUACAGAUCACCACAUUAUCUUUAUUAAUUUAUUGGGCACUUUGGCCAAUUCUAUGAUUUAGCUAUGUGAAAAGAGGUAAAAUAAGAAUAUAUAUGUAGGUAUAUUUUAUAUUGUAACUUAAGUGGCUAAAGGUGAUAGUGAUAUAGAUGGAUCACAUUGGUGCUUCUAAUUUAACUUUUCCAAGGAAAUUCCAUUCUGAUUUCUACAAUGGAUGAAUUUACAUUCGUAUGAGCAGUAUGCACUUAAAAAAAAAACAUCGUCACCAUCAAUUGUAGUUUUCUUGAUAGCAACUAUUUUGAUUGAAGUGAGAUAGACUCUCAAUGCAGUUUUCAUUUACAUUUUUUCCCAUGCCUUAGAAGACUGGACACCUACUCCAUAUGUUUCCUUGAUCAUUUUUCAUUGUUUUGAGAACUUCUUGAAUAAUUUCCAGUUAUUGAUUAGAUAAUUUGUUUUGUUUUUAUGUUUAAAAUUUGUGUUCUUUAUAUAUUCUGAAUAUUCUUCUAUAAGAAGGAACCAGACUUAAACCAUUUUAAUUAUAGCUUCCAUUUUGAAUAGUGGCCAAAUAAAGUUAAAGUUCUCAAGACCUCCUUGGGUAACUGAUAUCCUGCUUGACCAAGAGAGACAUGAGUACUAGGCAAGUCACCUUGCCACAGUUGAAUAAAUCAACCAAUGAGAAUAGGAUAGAUGCACCAUGUAGGGAAAGGUUCCUAGGAAAGUCCUGAAUCUUUGAAUCCUGAUUGGUAGAAAAAUGUAACUGUAACUUUGCAUAGAUGUUUGUGUUUUUUCAGGAUUAAGAGUCUGAAAUAACAUUUUGGCUUGGAAUUGCAGUUCAGCUCCCAAGUCUGUUUUGUGACCCUGAUCAAUCAGUAGCAGCUUGAUUACAAUAAAUUUUUGUUUUCUGCAUUGAUCUGGUAUUUGAGUUGUGUUGGAUGUAGCACUUUUUUUUGUUGUUGUUGUUUUUUUUUUUUUUUUUUUUUGAGAAAGGAUCUCAUGUAAUUUAGCUUGGGUUUAAUUUUCAUAUAGUUGAAAAUAACCUUGAAUUUCUGCUCUUUUUGCAUCUACCCCCAAGAGAACUGGGACCAUAGAUAUGCUAGGAUUAGACAGUGGUCCUAGUGUGCAUCUAGUGAGUGCUAGGUGUACACUCUACUAAAUGAGCUACAUUGCCAGUUCAUCAUUUGACUGCUAACAUGCUGUCAGGGCUGCGGCUGACAAUGGUUCAGCAGGCUGUCUCCCCACUUCCUGAUUGUUUCCUUUGCUGUGCAAAAGCUUUAGAAUCCAAGGCAUCUCAUCUCUCAAUUCUUGCCAUCCUCACUUUCAUAGCUACUAGAAUCCUAUUUAGGAGGUCAUUGCUUGUGCCUAUAUUUGAAGUUUUUCCUUAUUAUUUAAAGGUUUUAGAUCUUAAAUCAAGGUCUUUGAAUCAUUUUGAAUAGAAUUUUUUUAAGGGUAUGAGAAAAGGCUAUAUAGUUUCAGUCUUAUACAUACGGCUAUCCAGUUUGCUAUUAAAUGUUCCCAGCACCAUUGUUAAGAAGUAGGCAGAAGCAGUUUCCUAGGUUUAAUUUGGGUCCUCCUCUUAUUUCACUGGUAUGCAUGUCUGUUUGUGUGCCAGUACCAUGCUAUUUUUGUUACUAUGGCUGGAGUAUAAUUAAAAGACCAGGUUCUGCUUUUCUGUUUUGAAUUGCUCUGGCUAUUUGGGGUCUAUUGGACUUUCAUAUGAAUUUCUAGAUUUCUUUCUGUUUCUGUCAAAAUUAUCACAGGAGUUUUUACCAUGAUUGCAUGGAGUCUGUGGAUCACUUUCAUUCAUAUAGCUUUUCCACCAUAUUAACUAUGCUGAUCCACAAAUAUGGAAAGUCAUCCCACAUUCUGCCGCUCAGCUGCUUUCUUUAGUGUUUUAAUACACUUCCCAUUUCUGAGUUAAGACUGUCACUAUAAUUUAGUACAAUCAUCACAAAGAGAUUUGGGACCUACUCAGGGUUUCCUCUGGGAUCAGUCAAAAUAGGAUUAUCAUGAGUGCUUCCAAUGUGUUAUUAAAGCGUGGUUGCCAGACUGGGCAUUGCAGCAUUGCAAACUAAGUCAGAAACACAGCCUUUGGGUUCCACCCCAGAGCUGAGGGCUCAGGAACUCCAGGUGGUGGCAAUCAGCAAUCCCAAGCUCUUCAGGUGGUUGUAAUUGUGCUGAAAUUUAGGAACACUUAUCUUGGCACCAAAGAAAAGAGCAACUGUCUCCUCUCAUGGCUGGAUUUACCUGUUUAAUAUCAGUGCUUCACAUAGUAAGAAUAAAGGGGGUAAUGAAACAACAAGUUAAUUUAUUUUCUUAACACAACUAAUAUCAUAUAAGUGUGUGUGUGUACAUGUGAAAAUCUUAAACCACAAAAUUCUCAACAUGCAUAAGAUAAAAUUAUUACAACUGCUGUAUUCACAUGAUUUCUCACUCUGAAGGGAUAUCCCUGGGGUUUGCUGAUCUUUUUACUUUCAGUAUCAUCUGUGUCAAUUAGUUCCUAUCACUAACCAAUUUGCUAUCAAACAAAAGGGCCAAAUCAGAGUGGGGAAAUUGGUCACAUAAUGGCUGAAUGCUUUAAUUCAGUGAGGAGAAAAAAACUAGAGUUGAUGGAUUUUAUGUUGGUUGAGAUAAGAUGUUUAGAGUAGUUUAAUACUUCCUGGCUUAUCAAUCCCUCUGUUCUCUUUCCCUUCCUUUCAAAAAAUGUUUCUGUCUGUCCUACAGGCAUAAGCAAUUCUAUGUGCUAUUAACAAAAACAACAAAUGCAAACCAAAAGGAAUUCAAGAAAAGAUGCAUUGAUUUUGAAAUUUUCGCUCUAGAAAGUCCUUUUCAUUUUGAAAAUAGAAUCUUAUAUUGCUUAUUCUUAUUGGAACCUCUUUUCUCUUCUAUCAGGCAAUUAAUAGCACAGUGAAUUUAUGCUUUUAUAGAUACUGAUAAUUGUGUGUUAAUGUGCCAGCAUGCAAGCUGUCAGGGAAAACACUAUUUUGAGGAGCUAUUAUGAGCAAGGAUCUAUGAUACGCUUCAUGUAUCCCUGCUCCAACUUCUUCCCCAAACUAAGUUGGCGAGAUAAAAUUGGAACAAGUGAAAGGGAAGCAAAUUAGUUGAAGGGAGGUAUGAACCAAUAAUGGCUAGCUUAUAUCUGGAUAGAUAUUGCACAAUAUAAACUUCAUAUGAGAGCUGGGUAGUGUUGCACAAUAUAAACCUCAUAUGAGGUAAUUACAGGUAAGAUGAAGUACCAUAGAUGACUGGGUAAUGAUUACUUCUGUUAGACAGGCAGCGGCCCUGAGCUACAUCAGAGGCCUCUUUGAUUCACACACUAAGCAAGAAAUACCAUUUGUUCUAAUUGACUUACUUUUUAUUAAAAAUGUUUCAUACAAUCUAUUUUUAUCAUAUCCUUCUCUGUCAUCUAUCUCCUCCCAGAUCCUCUCACCUAUCGAAAUUCGAUUAUUUCUUCCUCCCUCCCCAUUGCUCUCAAAAUGGCAAAAAUGAGUCAAAUGGCAACAAGCCAAAAUUAAAACAAAAUGAAACAAAAUAAAAUCACAGUAAGCAAAGAAACAAGAAAAUAAGAUAUUAAUGCAAAACCAACCAACCAGCC